GUACUGACGAAGAGUCCCAAACUAAGACGAAACAGCUGUCCAGUAC
rnacentral:hammerhead_ribozyme from 1 species